rnacentral:rRNA from 1 species
AUUGAACGCUGGCGGCAUGCCUUACACAUGCAAGUCGAACGGCAGCACGGGAGCAAUCCUGGUGGCGAGUGGCGAACGGGUGAGUAAUAUAUCGGAACGUGCCCAGUCGUGGGGGAUAACGCAGCGAAAGCUGUGCUAAUACCGCAUACGAUCUAAGGAUGAAAGCGGGGGAUCGCAAGACCUCGCGCGAUUGGAGCGGCCGAUAUCAGAUUAGCUAGUUGGUGGGGUAAAGGCCCACCAAGGCGACGAUCUGUAGCUGGUCUGAGAGGACGACCAGCCACACUGGAACUGAGGCACGGUCCAGACUCCUACGGGAGGCAGCAGUGGGGAAUUUUGGACAAUGGGCGAAAGCCUGAUCCAGCAAUGCCGCGUGCAGGAUGAAGGCCUUCGGGUUGUAAACUGCUUUUGUACGGAACGAAACGGCCCUUUCUAAUACAGGGGGCUAAUGACGGUACCGUAAGAAUAAGCACCGGCUAACUACGUGCCAGCCGCCGCCGUAAUAC